rnacentral:rRNA from 1 species
UACGAAGGGGGCUAGCGUUGCUCGGAAUUACUGGGCGUAAAGCGCACGUAGGCGGUCUUUUAAGUCGGGGGUGAAAUCCUGGAGCUCAACUCCAGAACUGCCUUCGAUACUGGAAGACUUGAGUCCGGGAGAGGUGAGUGGAACUGCGAGUGUAGAGGUGAAAUUCGUAGAUAUUCGCAAGAACACCAGUGGCGAAGGCGGCUCACUGGCCCGGUACUGACGCUGAGGUGCGAAAGCGUGGGGAGCGAACCGG